CUGACGGAGUAGAGCUGGUGGUGUCCGUCGGAGUAGAGCUGGUGUCUGACGGAGUAGAGCUGGUGGUGUCUGACGGAGUAGAGCUGCUCUCUGAAGGAGUAGAGCUGGUGGUGUCUGACGGAGUAGAGCUGGUGUCCGUCGGAUUAGAGCUGGUGUCUGAAGGAGUAGAGCUGCUGGUGUCUGAUGGAGUAGAGCUGGUGUCUGACGGAGUAGAGCUGGUGUCUGAUGGAGUAGCGCUGGUGUCUGACGCAGCAGCUGGUGUCUGACGUAGCGGCGCUGGUAUCGGGUGGUGUAAUGGGCGUGUUACUCGACAGCAGCUGGAUGAAGUUCGGUCCGGCGGAGCGAGACUCUCUGGAGUGGUCCCCCGGCCCCCCGCCCCCAACGGAGCGGCUGCCUGACCAGACCAGUCCGGGGGAGUCCCGCCUCGGCAAGCUGUCCGUCGUCUCGGUGGUCACGGCGACGGCGGCCUUGCUUCUCCUCCUGGGGGGGGUGCUGGGGCUGCUGGCUUGUCGGCGGCGGCGGGCCGGGGUUAGGAAGCCGGGCCUUCUGGCCAACGUGAUCGCCCUGGAGGACCUGGAGGACCUGGAGGACCCCGAGGUCCUGGAGGUCCUGGAGACCCUGGAG
ensembl:lncRNA